rnacentral:rRNA from 1 species
GUACACGCUGUGACUAGCAUAUCAAUAAGCGGAGGAAAAGAAACUACCUACGCUUAGGAUGUUGACACACGCGCGUGCUCGACUCUAUACAUGACUCUGUGCAUAUCAAUAAGCGGAGGAAAAGUAAAUGCUGUAUACCUACGCUUAGGAUGUUGACACACGCGCGUGCUCGACUCUAUACAUGACUCUGUGCAUAUCAAUAAGCGGAGGAAAAGUACUACCUACGCUUAGGAUGUUGACACACGCGCGUGCUCGACUCUAUACAUGACUCUGCUGCAUAUCAAUAAGCGGAGGAAAAGUCAUACCUACGCUUAGGAUGUUGACACACGCGCGUGCUCGACUCUAUACAUGACUCUGUGCAUAUCAAUAAGCGGAGGAAAAGAGGGCUAUUACCUACGCUUAGGAUGUUGAAGAUAUGCGCGACACGGCUCUAUACAUGACUCUGCGCAUAUCAAUAAGCGGAGGAAAAGAGGGCUACUACCUACGCUUAGGAUGUUGACACACGCGCGUGCUCGACUCUAUACAUGACUCUGCGCAUAUCAAUAAGCGGAGGAAAAGGUACCUACGCUUAGGAUGUUGACACACGCGCGUGCUCGGCUCUAUACAUGACUCUGCGCAUAUCAAUAAGCGGAGGAAAAGAGGGCUAUUACCUACGCUUAGGAUGUUGACGAGACUGCCGAUCUCAUCUAUACAUGACUUCUGCGCAUAUCAAUAAGCGGAGGAAAAGGGUACCUACGCUUAGGAUGUUGAUCUACAGAGCGAGAGU